GCUUUUAUUUUAAAUUUGAAUUGAGGCCUGGGCAUGUUGGUACAUGCCUGUAAUCCCAGUGGCUCCAGAGACUGAGGCAAGAGGAUUAAGAGUUCAAAGUCAGCCUCAGCAAAAGUGAGGCACUAAGCAACUCAGUGAGACCUUGUCUCCAAAUAAAAUACAAAAUAGGGCUUGGGAUGUGGCUUAGUGAUCAAGUGCCCCUGAGUUCAAUCUCCGGUAACCUCCAACCCCCCAAAAAGGGCUGAACAUGUAACUCAGUUUUUAAGCACCCCUUGGUUCAAUCCCUGGUACCCCCCCAAAAAAAAUUGAAUUGAGAACUUUCUAUAUAUUCCAAAUACUGUGCUAGAUAUCUUAGAUUUCAUAUAUCACUUAUUGUAAACAUGUUCUGAAACAAAGCAUAGUUAUGUGUCAAUAUAUCCCCAUUUUAUGAAUAAGGAAAAUGAGAGUUGGAAACCUUAGAUAACUAGUCCAACAUUGUAAAGUAGGGAAGCCCAGGUUUAGGAUUCAGUUCAGUUGAACUUUAAACUUAUCUGUGCAUGAGUGAGAAUGUGAAGGGAGUUGUGAUCAUGUGAGAGAACAACAGAAAGAAAAACAACAGAGAUAAUCAGAGGAAACCCAGGAAGCUCUCCUCCUCCAACCCUUCUAUUCAUCUUUCCUGAGAUACUCUGGACCAGCUGGAGCUGCUGAAAGCCUAUUUCUGAUUAUUCUGAUAGGAUGAAGCUAUUUAAAGACAACUGUUAAUGAUCCUUUUGAAGAACUACUUUUUAAAAUACUUAAACACCUGUCUGAAUAAGAGGGACAGUAUAUAGUACAGGAGCAGUUCCAAGGUUAAGUUCAUGGGCCUUGGGGUCAGGAUGCCCAGAUCUGUUGACUUCAGACAAAUUAUCCUUUGAAGCCACGUAUUCCUCACCUUUAAAAUGGGGACAGUAAUAGUACCUACUUUGAAGGUAUGAAUAUAUAUAUAAAAGAGAAAACAUUUAAAAGGUUUGCAGCUCAGUUAAUAACCUCAGUAAAUGUUCUCUUAAGCCAAACAUAGGACUCUAGGUGUAUGCCACCUAGAGUCCCAGCUACUUAUUUGUAAAAUUUUAAUUCUAAAAUUUUUAUUUUAAUUAUAAGACAAACUUACAAGGUAGGUACUACUAUUACUGAGGAGGCUGAGAUGGGAGGGUCACUUGAACCCAGGAGUUUGAGACCCAGCCUGGGAUAUAUAGUGAGAUCCUGUCUCAUAAACAAAGAAAGAAAAUAAAUAUUAGCCUAUAUGAUAUUAUUAUUAUAGUGUAUCAUUCAAGGGCCAUGUUUUUAGUGCCUCCAAUUUCCACAAGGUGGCAGGUCAACUUCAAAGUGCACCCCAUGGCUUUGUGUCCAAAUGGCAAAGUCUACUUUACUUGCUUCAGAAUAACUGGUCUAAAUAUGAACUGUUUGAAUCAUCUUCUUUAGGAGAUUUGUCAUGAUCCAGGCAUCUAAUUGUCACUGUAAACUCUUUCUUAAUGGAACCUGAAGAUCCUUUAAUUUAAUCCUCUGGCUUCUCAGGAUUCCCAGGACCAUCUGCAUUUACAUGAAGUAUAUGUUAACUGCCACAGAUAAUUGCAUAAGUGAGUGCACUCAGAUCAGCUUGAUAAACACUAAGUUUAGUCCCUGAAGACAAUGAAGGAGAAAAAUCAUGAGCUGGGAAGAAUCCUGGGCUCUGUGAUUGGCAAACUGCAGAAGAUAAGAGAUUUGUGCCUCUUGUUGUAGAGUAAUAGAAUGUUUGGUCUAUAAAUCAGGAGUUGCAAAAAAAUGGCAAAUGAAGACACUGAAUAGAAGAUUCUCUAGCCUAUUUGUGAG
rnacentral:lncRNA from 1 species